rnacentral:rRNA from 1 species
UACGUAGGGGGCUAGCGUUGUCCGGAAUCAUUGGGCGUAAAGAGCGCGUAGGCGGCCAGAUAAGUCCGGUGUGAAAGUCAAAGGCUCAACCUUUGAAUGCCGCUGGAAACUGUCUGGCUAGAGUCCGGGAGGGGCGAGUGGAAUUCCUGGUGUAGCGGUGAAAUGCGCAGAUAUCAGGAAGAACACCGAUGGCGAAGGCAGCUCUCUGGGACGGUACUGACGCUGAGACGCGAAAGCGUGGGGAGCAAACAGG